AUGGUUGAGUUCCAGCCCUCUGCCCCCAAAUGUUUGCAGUGUCACCAAGGAAACAGGUUUAUUUUGAUAUUAGUUUCUCAAAUUCCACCUUUUAUCUUUCUGCCAGAAACAGUCCUGACAAAACAACCUACUGAUAAGUCAGAAGAAGAAUUAAGAAUGUGGAACUGGAGAAGAACUAUAGUGAGAGGUAAACACAAACUUCUUCACUGUCUGUGAACUAAAAGGGCACAAGACCCACACAUACUAGGGAAGUCGAGUGAGUACAACAAGCAGGAAUCAGUGAGAUCCAAGAAGUGCAGCCCAGACAAAAGCCGACCAGGACAAGGACAAGCAGAACCUGUACCUUGGUGUCUUGUUACCAAGGGGUUCAUUGUCCUGAGGGAAGGAUCCUAAACCCCCAUGCUGAGGAUUAGAUUUGGUCUCUAGUCUCUGAGAUGCCCACAGCCAAAGCACCCCUACCAGGCUUCCACCCCACUGCCCCACUCCGUAGAAGCUCUGACACUUUGUUAAGGGCUCCUGAGGCUCCCAACACUUUCCCAAGCACACCAAUGUUUAUUUGGGUGUUUGGAGGGGUCAAGAGAUUGGUGACCUCCAUUCUCUUCUUAUUUCACCAUUCUCUGUGAUUUCAGAGGCCUCACUUUAAGCACCUGGGGAAUUCUGAGCAUCUAAAAGAAAAAUAUGGAAAAGAAAAAGUAGGGAUAUGAUCAAUUGCUGCUGAAAAAUAAAUAUUCCCCAUUUCAGGAGCACAAUGAAAGGAUGAGAACUUGUAAGGAGGCCAGAGAUGAG
rnacentral:lncRNA from 1 species